CCAAGGCAAGACAGAAGAAAAAAAAAUAGGAAUAUAGACCAAUGGAAUAGAACAGAGACCCCAAAAGUAAAGCCAAAUACAGCUAACUGAUCUUCGAUAAAGCAUACAAAAAUAUAAAGGGAGGAAAGGACACACUAUUCAAUAAAUGGUGCUGG